rnacentral:rRNA from 1 species
UACGAAGGGGGCUAGCGUUGCUCGGAAUCACUGGGCGUAAAGCGCACGUAGGCGGAUUGCUAAGUCAGGGGUGAAAUCCUGGAGCUCAACUCCAGAACUGCCUUUGAUACUGGCGAUCUCGAGUCCGGGAGAGGUGAGUGGAACUGCGAGUGUAGAGGUGAAAUUCGUAGAUAUUCGCAAGAACACCAGUGGCGAAGGCGGCUCACUGGCCCGGUACUGACGCUGAGGUGCGAAAAGCGUGGGGAGCAAACAGGG